rnacentral:rRNA from 1 species
AUUGGAUGAGCCCGCGGCCUAUUAGCUAGUUGGUGGGGUAACGGCCUACCAAGGCGACGAUGGGUAGCCGGCCUGAGAGGGUGUACGGCCACACUGGCACUGAGAUACGGGCCAGACUCCUACGGGAGGCAGCAGUGGGGAAUUUUGCGCAAUGGGGGAAACCCUGACGCAGCAACGCCGCGUGAGCGAUGAAGGCCUUCGGGUCGUAAAGCUCUUUUAGUGGGGAAGAAUUCCACCCGGGCUAAUACCUCGGGUGUCUGACGGUACCCACAGAAAAAGUUCCGGCUAACUACGUGCCAGCAGCCGCGGCCGAAU